AUAUCUGAAUUGAGAAAUUCAAUACUAUUUUAGUUAUUUAUUUUCUAAAUAAAUAAUCGAUGGUAUGCACUUUUCUCAUAGUAAGACAUUGCGAUCCAUUAGUAGUUUCUUUGAAACGGUUUAUCAAACGGCCUACUAUAGUCAGUUUAAUCUAUCUGCAAUGCUUUUGUAUUGUAUGGUUAAUGCUAUUGUGGUGACCUGGUAAACAGCUGAUGGAGCUUUAUAAUCAUGCUAAACAUGCAUUCGUAUGUAUCACGGUUUAAAUAUAUUCGUUUAUAUUUGAAUGCAGUGAUCGCAUGUAUUUGAUUAGCAAUGCGAUAGAUUUGGGAUACCUUCGGGACCCGUCUUGAAACACGGACCAAGAAGUCUAACAUGUGUGUAAGUCAUUGGGUAUUUUAUGUUGAAACCUAAAGGCGAAAUUAAAAUAACUAUUUUAAUGGGAUUACAAGCAAUUUUUAAAUAAUUGUUUCUCCAUCCCGGGGCGUUCUAUAUGAACAUGGUUUAAGCAAUUAGACCCUCUGUUCGAGAGCGUACCUUGAACAUACAUGCUGUGACCC
rnacentral:rRNA from 1 species